rnacentral:misc_RNA from 1 species
GAAAUGCGAUACGUAAUGCGAAUUGCAGAAUUCCGUGAAUCAUCAAAUCUUUGAACGCAAGUGGCACUCCCAUGUUUAGGUGGGAGUAUGCCUCUUGGAGUGUCUGGUUUUUUGCUUAACAGUAGUAUUGUGGUGGGCGUGUGCUCCUCCUCCUCUGUAUGAGUGCUUGCCUUAAGUCGAGUGGGAAGUGGAUACUGGUUGAAUACAACUAGAGUAUACGCUGCUGCCCAUAACUAACGAGUGGCUGUCAACCAACAGGCACCCAACACCAAACCAACAGACCUCCAGCGAGGCAAGAGGACCCGCUGAAUUUAA